CCUACGGGAGGCAGCAGUGAGGAAUAUUGGUCAAUGGACGAGAGUCUGAACCAGCCAAGUAGCGUGAAGGAUGACUGCCCUAUGGGUUGUAAACUUCUUUUAUAAAGGAAUAAAACGAGGCACGUGUGCCUUUUUGCAUGUACUUUAUGAAUAAGGCUCGGCUAACUCCGUGCCAGCAGCCGCGGUAAUACGGAGGAUCCGAGCGUUAUCCGGAUUUAUUGGGUUUAAAGGGAGCGUAGAUGGGUUGUUAAGUCAGUUGUGAAAGUUUGCGGCUCAACCGUAAAAUUGCAAUUGAUACUGGCAGUCGUGAGUACAGUUGAGGUAAGCGGAAUUCGUGGUGUAGCGGUGAAAUGCUUAGAUAUCACGAAGAACCCCGAUUGCGAAGGCAGCUUACUAAACUGUGACUGACAUUGAUGCUCGAAAGUGUGGGUAUCAAACAGGAUUAGAUACCCCUGUAGUC
rnacentral:rRNA from 1 species